AACGAACGCUGGCGGCAUGCCUAACACAUGCAAGUCGAACGAAGGCUUCGGCCUUAGUGGCGCACGGGUGCGUAACACGUGGGAAUCUGCCCUUUGCUUCGGAAUAACAGUUAGAAAUGACUGCUAAUACCGGAUAAUGUCGCAAGACCAAAGAUUUAUCGGCAAAGGAUGAGCCCGCGUAAGAUUAGGUAGUUGGUGGGGUAAUGGCCUACCAAGCCGACGAUCUUAGCUGGUCUGAGAGGAUGAUCAGCCACACUGGGACUGAGACACGGCCCAGACUCCUACGGGAGGCAGCAGUGGGGAAUAUUGGACAAUGGGCGAAAGCCUGAUCCAGCAAUGCCGCGUGAGUGAUGAAGGCCUUAGGGUUGUAAAGCUCUUUUACCCGGGAUGAUAAUGACAGUACCGGGAGAAUAAGCUCCGGCUAACUCCGUGCCAGCCGCCGCGGUAACAC
rnacentral:rRNA from 1 species